AAUGAAAAUUAACAAAUAAUUUAAAUAGUUAGAGUAAAUAUUUAAUAUAAUUAGACUAAAUAAACCAUAUUAUCUGAAAAAUUAGUUAUAAUUUUAAAAAUAAAUAUUACUUGUUAUUUUUCAGAAUAUGAUUUAAUUUUUUCUUGCUAAAAGAUUUAAGAUGAUUUUCUUUUGUUAAGUAAUCUAUGUUUUAGUUAUAUAUUAAGAAUUGAAUGUUGCUUUACAUAAUUUGAAACAAACAAAAACAAUAGAUUCUGUUACAAUUUGGGAAAGGAAAAAAAUCCACAUGGUAAACCUUCGAUUGCAACUUGAAAAAGAAAAACAAAAAAUUGUAACGCAGGUGUUAACAAUUAUUUUUUUCAAAUAUUAAAAAAAUUUUAAGAACAAAAAAAAUCCAUUUAAGAUAUUAUUUUUUCAUGUUUUCUCAAACUCCGACCAACAUAAAUAAAAAUUAAAUUUAACAAAUAAUUUUUAUGUAGUUAUCAAGUUCAAUUUUAUGAAAAUCUACAAUAAUAUACAUCACACGACAAUCAACAUCCCACGCGUAGCGCAUACUUACCCUAAUAUAUAAAAUAAAAUUGAUUUAAAGGUUCUAAGAAUAUCUACAUGGACAAAAAAGAAAAAGAAAAUAGCACAUCAUUUAUACUAAAUAAUAACAUGUCAAUUAUACUAAUAAAUAAUAAAAUUCACCAAUAAAAUUGUCUAAUUGAUAUCUUUGUUGUUUUCUUAAAUGUUACCUUUUAUUAAAAACUGUAAUUUUCAAAAUCAAAUAAAAAAAUAUAAAUCAUUUUUUUAAAAAAAAAACUAACGAAAAGAAAAAAAUCAUAAAACGCUAAAACUAUAUAUGCAAAAUAAUAAAAAUAACUUAAAAGAGCAUUUUCAAAACAUUUCCUUAAGCAUGUCAAAAUAUUCAAAAUAGUAUUUAUCAAAAUCUUUUUUUUUUUAUCAUUCGUUAGCAGUUUUAACUGUAAAGUUAUAAACAAUCCAUUUUUUUGAACAAAAAACAAUCCAUUUUAAUCAUGAAACAUCAAAAAAAAAACUUUAAUAUGUAAAAACAUAACAAAAAUUUAAACAAUGUGUAUGAUGUCUGAAUUUUUAAGAAGUUCAAAAUUUAUUUACACGCUGAUAUAUUUAAAGUUAUGGUAAUACUUUAGUUAUUGUGCCCAUUUUUCCUAGAUUUAAUAGCUAACAUAAAAUUUGUUUCUCUCUUAUGUUUAUACUAAUAACAUAUCAUUUAUACUAAUAAAUAAUAAAAAUCACCAAUACUUAAAAAGUUAAGAAGUUGUUAAAUUAAAUAAUUUUUUUAAUUGUUCCCAGUCAUAGCAAAUUUGAAAUUAUUAAAAUUAGUGGUUUUUAAAAAUGAGAUUAUAUAAAUUUAACUAUAUUUAAAAAUUAGUGCUUCAAAGAGGUCGAUGGCUUUUUGAGUACGGUGUGGCAUGAGGUCGGGAUUUUAUGGUUUUUCUUUUCCAGUCGCUUAGUUUUAUUGAAAUUCAGAGAUGUGUACCCAUAGUUACAAAUUGUAAGAACAUAACCUUUAUUCAUCUUUAUUUAUUCAGUCACUGUUACAAAUUUGACUUAGACAUGAUGAAACUCACAAAUUGUAGAAUUUUAGGCGAGUCAUCGCACUUUUUCAUAUCUACAUGUGUUUUAACAUAACCCAAAGGUUUUAUAUUUUCUUUUCUGGUCCCUUGUUUUAUGUGAACUCAUAGAUGUGUACCCAUAGUUACAAAACUUAAAAACAUAACCUUUCUUCUUUUAUGUAUAUAAUAAUCACAUGAUUAGUGAACAACUGAACAUGAUAACGCUAGAAUCUUAUGCGAGUGAUUACACUCUUAUAAAUCUACAUAUGUUUUACAUACAUUCAUAAACACUGGUGAAGAAUAAGAAAAAUAAUAUUUAGUUAGAGAAUAUUGAUGCUCGUGUGUUAUUAGAGAACUAAUGAUGUUUUAUGUAUUUUGUGCAAUAAAAUCUAAUAUAGUUAGAUUUAUAGAAUGCCACUGCGCCCCUUAAUUAAAUCUUCUUUUGUUCGCAAGUCUCUCUUUUAAAUUAUUAUCAUCACUAUUGCAACACUUGUAACAACUACUGUAGCUAUUUCUAAUUAUAAAAUGUGAAAGUUAAAAUGGAAUUGCUUGUAUACUAUAUAAUACUUGUAAUCUUGAAGUAUAUAAUCAGAUUCACAGGUAUAUAUGGAGACUGGUCUCAUUCAAAGAGUAUAUCUUACGAAUGAAAACUCGGUUCUUGUUUUUCUUGUAUGUAUUGCAGAUAUUUAGCAAACUCAACACAAAUAGAUUCACAGUUUUACAUAUUUAUAUGUAUCUAUACUAUAAUAAAAGGGUUAUAUAAUCAACAGGGAGAGUGUCCACGUAGGACAUUAAAAUCAUCCAAUCAAGAAAUCUCUUUUUGACACGUCAUCAAGCCAGCUCAGUUGCUUUGGUUCUUCUUCACGCCUUUCGCGAUCCGAGAGGAUUCAUUCGACGUUUUCCUUUUUCAUUUUUCCAGAACCCGUUUUGCUAGAUCAAAUCCUAAAACCCUUUGCUUUUCCUCUCUUAAUCCACGUUAUCCAGUGAUCCUAAAAGAAGUGUUAUUUUAUCUCGAAGGAUUCCGAUGGGAUCUAAACGCAGCGAUGGAGGCUUGCCGCAGAAAACCUUGCCGUCGCCGGCUAAACCUCCGUCUGAGAAUCAGAGAACCGCGGCGGAGGAACAAAGGAGAAACGAGAAGAUCGUGAGAUUCACAGAACUGAGCCGUGGUAUCUGCACAGGUUCUAAGGGAAUGAAGGAUCGGCCGAUACGAUGCAUGACGUCUUCAGGAACGUCAGAAGGAAGAGGAGAUCAGAAGAAAUCUGGUUCUCUGGUUCUCAGACGGAGGUUGUGAUGAAUCACUUGGAGCUCUUGGUGGCGUUUGGUUCACUGAAGGAUUUUCUUUUUGAUGGUUGUGAACAGGUCAGAUAUGGAAGAGAAGAAGCUUGCAGACGAUAGAGUCAGCGAUGAGCAAGUAAAGAGAAUUGAAUUGAUGGUUUCUGAUGUUGAUGCGAGGGAUACCAAAGAUGAGGUCUUUGAGGAAGCUAUCGACAGUUUGAAGCCUGAAUCUUUCCAAGCCGAUGAUGGGUUACACGAGGAUUGCCUUCAGAGGAGAGGAAGUGAAAGUGCCAGAGGUUAAUGGAGAGAGCCAUGGUGAGGCAAACCUGCAACAUAUAACUACGGGAGAGGCUGUACCAGGUUUUGUGACUUCCCAAGUGAAUGGUGAUGAAGGGGAAGCAGGUGCAGGGAAUGUCAGCGAGACAGCUACACUUUCUUUUUCUGAAAAUGGAAUCUUCUCCCAUGAGAAGAAAGCUGUUCUCCUCUCUUUCGGGUAAGCUUUUAUGGUUUCAUUUUCAAUUAAUUCUUCUUCUAUGUAUAUCUUUGAAAAUAGACGAGUACUCUAUAGUUUGUGGUGAUAAUCCUGAGCUAUUGUUUUUUUUACUCUAUUUUAUUGUUAGGGUUGUUGGAAUUUUUAUCAAAACUUAAGUCUUUUUGUUUGAUUGGUGCAAUGAUUGGUGAUUUCGUUUUGGUUAUGCUUCUGAGCAGGUCGGAGAAGGAAGAGAAGAAGCUUGGAGACGAUAGAAUCAUCCAUGACCAAGUAGAGAACAAUAUAUUACUGGUUUCUGAUGUUGAUGCGAGGGAUGCCUAUGAUGAGGUCUUUGUGGAAGCUAUUACUGGUUAGUUUUGAUAAAAUUUGUAAUUGCAGUUAUAUAUAUUGGACUACUUUGUUCAUGAAGAAUACAUGACCUCUACGUAAGUUUAUGGUGUCUUGAUCAAACAUAUUUCUCUUACCAAAUUAUGGCUAUUUCCAUUAAUUCACUUGGUUUAAUGUUUCUGAAGUCUGUUUGUCGAUUUUGAUUUCACUAUUUCCAGGUGGGACAUAACCGCAAAGAGAUUGGGUUUCAUGCUGGUGUUUGGAGAUCUCCUGUGCAUUCCUUUCACAUUUAGCAUUCAGGCAUGGAACUAACACAAUUAGGACAUACUUAAAUUCAUCUUAUAGUUAGUAUCUGCUUAGCAUGUUACAGUUUAUCCCGGAAACAAUAUCAUUCUUGAAUGCUUGAUCACUCUGUGACUGGAUUGCCUUCUCUCUGGUUCAGGGCUGGCCUUUUGCACAACAAAGUAGAACUAACAGUUCCUGCAAUUGUAGCCAACUGCUUUGUGUUCUUGAUAGGGUAAGUUCUGAGUCAUUGUUUGUUUAUUUUACGUUCUUAGGAACUGAACUUAGAAAGAAACCCACAAGCUGUUCUUUUUGGCAAGUACAUGGUUUUUAGAGGGGCUUACAAACAAAAACAUAUAUUUAAGAAAAACCCUAAAACACAUAUAAGGAUUGCUUUGAGAAUGAGUCUGGGGCACAAAGAAAUGGUGAGACUGUUGCCGAAUACAACACUGUUAAAUAUGCUUCAGGUGAUAGCAUUCAAGUAGCUUCGGGUGAGAAAUCCUUGAAUGAUAGUAUUGAAGUAGCUUGCGCUGGGACCUCAUCUCCAUUGGAGGUGGAAUAAGCUGUAAGGAUGUCACAGAGAUUGGUAAUCCCCAUCUCCUUUACAGAGUUUGGUAGCAACAAGUUAUAAAUUGCACGAGCAAAUGGUAACUCUUUUGAAUCCGUUAAGACAGAGGAAGCCGAUUUCCUAUGUAAAGCUCUGGUCGUUGGGGUACUCCAACAAAAUGGUUGGUCACACCGGAUGCAGCAUGAAGUUAGACAAAUCUGGCACUUCCCUUCGCUGCAACAGAUGUGUUUCUACGAACAUUACCGGGGUUAUCAGGUUCCGUGUUGAGCUAGCAGAUGAUGAUGGCAACGAUUGUGCCACGUUUUGUGGUCUUCGAUAGGGAUAUGAGUAAGCACACCGAGCAAGAAGCAGACACUCUGGCUCUCGACGAGGUACAUUUUUGCUACUGUGCUACAUUUUUCCUAUGUUAACAGUGGUCACGAUCACUCUGAAUGGCUCUAAAACAUUAAAUCUACUACAUAUAAGUGGGGGUGAAGGGCAAGAGCUACCAAGAUGCCUUGAAGAGCUAGCUGGGAAGGACUAUGUUUUUCAAAUUCAUGUGACUCCGUACAGUUUCACCCCUAACCACCGUACCUUCACCAUCUCUGCAAUCAGUGAUGCUAGCUCCUUUUGCAUUCACGCUCACGCAGAGGUGCGUUACACACGAGUUUUCAAAAAAAAAUUCUUCUUAUAGAUUUUAAAAAACACAUGUACAACUGUGUCACAGAGUUGCACCAGCAACCCAACUGCAGUAGUUGACGGGGAAGAUGGACAACUAACAGCAUCUGCCAGCAACACGGUUGAAGGGGUGAAGAUAGAAAUGGGCGUUGAUUGCAGAGAAAGAAAACAGCCGCAAAAUACCCCCGUGAAUGAUAGUUUUAAGUUGAUCAUACUGUCAACCCAUUUACCUUUCAUGUCUUUUAAAAUUUCUGCAUUCCUAUGUUUUCCCCAUUUUGAACUUUUGUUGUCUCUUGCAUCUUCAGCAAACUACCUCCCACACGGAGGAUAGAGACUUUGAUUUUAUAUAAAAAAGGCUGUGUUGACGGGUUUCUGCAUAUUGAAAAUCUUCUUACCUUAAUGCAUUAGUCCAUCUUUUUUGUAGGCGGUAAAAUGAACCGAACGAAGCUACAAAGUACUUAGAUAGGCAUAUUCUACAACUAAACAAAUUUAAGUGUAUCACCAUCGUCUACUAGAAUUUUCAUAGUUUAAAUUUUUCAGUCUCACGCCAUUCAAAUCAUGCGGGAGCCUACAAUAAAAUGUCAGUUAUAACAACCUACUUCCACUCUUUUUAAAGAAAUGUUAGGAUUUGGUAAACAAAACAAAAAAAAAAACAGACAAAAAAAACUAUUGCUCUCGAAGAUAUUACUUCCGUUUGAAUAUAAAAAAUUAAAACUAGCGAAAGUCUAAUUCAUAGUUUAUUACAAUUUCAGAUUAAUUAAUGUAGGCAUCUUUAUAAGAUCAUUAUUUGGAAACACAUUCAUGCAUAUUUAAAAAAAAAACUCCACAACAAAACGUCCACAACAACAACAAAAACAACCUCCAAGAUCAUAACCCAACCUCAAACAUCAUACUACUUAUCAGCACAACUUAUGGGUUUGUACUUCAAAUAUAGCGAUAAAGCGACAAUACUUUUUGUAGUUUUGGUUAUAAUUUGACUUAACAUAUCCCGGAUCAUAAGAUGGUUCUGUUUGACAUAAAAAUAACAGAUUUAAACCAUGGGCUAUUUUAAACAGAAACCAUGUUAACUAAUUUCAUUUAUCCUAUUUCUGCUGAGAUUUCAUCAACGCCAUUUGACAAAUUUUCCACAGAUUUUUUUCUCGGUCACUUAGAAAAUAUUUUCAAUAUGUAUAUCAAACCAAGUUUGCCUAGCUGUGAACUUAGUUAGAUCAAUGAACUUAAUUUCUCAACUGAAAUAAACGAAGUAAGAAGUCCGUUAAUAUGUUGGUUUGUACUUCCUUUUGAGGACGGAAGACCUAACUCAAUAAUUCUAAAACCAUAACAAUGGUUAAAUAAUUUGUAAAUUUAUCAAUUAUUUAACAUAAAAAUAAUCGAAAUAAAAUAGAUUUCUGAACAUUACUAAAGUUUAAUAACUACCAGUCCAUUUUUCUGACCAUUCUAUUCAAAAUGUCUUAAAAUAUACACAACAAAUUGUGAGUUUUAAUCAUUUUGUAAUUUCCAAAUAAAUUUAAAUUUUUCUAUUAUUUUGUAAUUUAUAAUUGAUUCUAAUGUAUAUUUACAAAUACAAAUGUUAAGUUAUAAAUUCAAGUUAUAAAUUUUAAAACUAUAGAAGACAAACCCGGGCGUAGCCCGGGACAGUCCCUAAUAUUGAGAAAGAAAAGUGACAAUAUUUCAAGAAGCACCUAUAAUGUUUUUGAACCAUUUAAAGCUUUUUCUAAUGGAUCCCUGCAUCUUCUGUUUAACUGAGUAAAACCUUAUAGGCAGCUACUCUUCUCUUCCUACGGGAUUCCGGAUCGCUGAAACUCCAGCUCCUUCACGCCAUACCAUCCCCGUUCAAACGCUUUUGCUUUUCUUUAUUUUCAUGAUCUGGUAAUCGUUUGUCUGAUCAGCGGCUGAAUCGUUGAUGUAACCUUUCACCGCAGCUUCGUCUCGGUUUCCAUACUCGGCUACGGCAGCCUUUGCAGCUGUUGGCUCCAUUUCUUUCUUGGAGAGAUAUGACAGACUCAAAAGCACCCACUAAGGCCUUAACUUUGCUCUUGAAAGUCUCCACAAGCUUAUUAGCUGUUUCAAAAGAUACAAUGGAAAAAUCAAAAUCACAGGCUCUAACAAUCCAUAAAUGAUUUGUGAAUAUAAGAUUAGAGUAUGGAUCAAGAAGCCAAGGUGAUUUGUGGGCUGGAAUCUCAAAAAAUCAUACCUGAAAGCACGUUGCUUAUGAGCUCGUAUUGCUUCUCUAGCUGUAACCGCAAAUCAUAAGUUGAGAAUAGGUCACAGUAGUCCGUGUAAGAAAUUAAAAUUUCAACAAAACGAAGAAAUAUUACCGUAGAAUUUGGCUAGGUUUGGCUUGCCUUAACUGUUCAUCAUCAUCCUAGCCUUUAUCAUCUUAAAUCUGUUCCCCUGAAACUUUUGAAACUCUCUAAGACUCAUAAGAUUUUUCUCUAUGAUGCAUCAAAGCUUCAGACGCUCUCCCUCCACUCGAUCGAAUCAAUGGUUCUGAUUCAUUUAUUUGCUCAUCUAUCGAAGCAUAGAAUCAGACCAAAAUCCGAAUCAGUAAACAUAUCAAACAUAACUGAGGAAAAAAAAACACAAAGAUACUAAAACAAAAAGGUACAAACCCAAUGAAAAGAAAAAAGAUCGAGCUCCCUGCAGAUGGAAUCAUCAAAAGAUUAAUAAGGAAUAUGAGAUUAAAUUAAACAGUAAAGAACCGAAUCUCAUUGUUUUUAAAAAGUUUGUACCUCCUGAUGCUUUUAAUCGUCCUGAAGCAUAAAGUUAGUCAUUGUCUCUUCACAGCAUCAGAGGAAGACUUUAUCAAAGGAUCUUUGUAUGCUUGAUAUGAAAGAUGAAUCGAAAGUGAUUGUGAAGAUCCAUCCCACCCGCAAUCUCUCCAAUAUAUAGAUCAAAGGAAGGAAACAGAGAGGUUUACAUUAUCAUUGGUUAAAUAAAAAUCAUAUUAAUGGAGAAUUAAGUAGAAUACGUUGAAUCUACGUUCGGGGAGGUUAAGAGUUGCAAAAAGAAAACUUUGGGUUUUCAGAGUUUUGCGGAACGGCGAGGGUGAAGAAGAAUCAAAGAACGAUAACCCAAAAACCUAAUGUGCCACGUGUCGCCGCGAGAGAGAGUGAGUUAUCUAGGUGGUGUCUGACGUGUCAUAAGGAGGAGAGAGCAAACCGUUCUUUAUAUAUAAAGAUUAUAUAUAUAUAUAACAAACAAAACAUGUAAGAGUAACCCAUUGUAACAAUGCAACAACCUCUUUUCUUACAUCCCACAAAUGACUAAUCAAUUUCUCUUUUUUUUUUGUUCUUCUAUGCAUAGCCACCAGCCAUACCGAUAUUUGAACCGGAGCGGUUAGCUUUGUGAGUAGGCGGAGAAGAGACAGAUUUGGUAAAGUGGAAGUAGUAGUAGACAUUAAGGAUCAUAGUUGCAA